rnacentral:rRNA from 1 species
UGGGGAAUAUUGGACAAUGGGCGAAAGCCUGAUCCAGCCAUGCCGCGUGUGUGAAGAAGGUCUUCGGAUUGUAAAGCACUUUAAGUUGGGAGGAAGGGCAGUAAGCGAAUACCUUGCUGUUUUGACGUUACCGACAGAAUAAGCACCGGCUAACUCUGUGCCAGCAGCCGCGGUAAUACAGAGGGUGCAAGCGUUAAUCGGAAUUACUGGGCGUAAAGCGCGCGUAGGUGGUUCGUUAAGUUGAAUGUGAAAGCCCCGGGCUCAACCUAGGAACUGCAUCAAAAACUGGCGAGCUAGAGUAGGGCAGAGGGUGGUGGAAUUUCCUGUGUAGCGGUGAAAUGCGUAGAUAUAGGAAGGAACACCAGUGGCGAAGGCGACCACCUGGGCUCAUACUGACACUGAGGUGCGAAAGCGUGGGGAGCAAACAGG